ACAUAGUGGAACAUGUGUCGUU
rnacentral:misc_RNA from 1 species